GACUGGGUGCUGUGGUGCCGGGCGGGGGGGGGGGGGGUGCAGGGGAGGGCUGGCUCAGGGGAAGUGUGUGAGUUUCUUCCUCUCUGGAUUCACUCUCUGCCUCAGCUUCCCCUUUCUCUGUGGACAGAUUUGCUGAAGCCCAACUCCAGGAGCCAGAGUGGCCGGACCACCAACAAAACAGGGCUCUGAUGCUCCCCUUCCCUUUUCUUCCUUACUUAUUUUUAAGUGGGGUCUUACUGUGCAGCCCAGGCUGGCCCUGAAUUUCUGGGCUAAAGUGAUCCUCCUGCCUCAGUUUCCUAAGUAGCUGGGACUGACUAUAAGUAUGUGCUUCUAUGCCUGGCUUACCUCCUUCUUCUUAAAAUAUAAAGAAACUGCGGUUCAGGGAGGGAAGGGACUGGUUCAAGGUCCCACAGUGAGAUGGUACUAAGCAAGGCCUAGAACACAGGCCUCUGGCCUGGCCACCUCCUCUCACCCUUGUUCUGUGGGAUGCUGUUUGCACGCCUCAGCCCAAGGCCGUCCUAUCAGGCACCUCUCCUACCCCUGGGCUGACUGGCUUCAGCCAGGACAGCCCUUCCCUGGCACUAGAAAUUCCCUGGAAUUUUCUUCCCCUGUGGCAUCUGGAGCCACCCCCCAGGAAGUGUUCUGGUCAGGCCAAGGGCCCCUUCCCCUGCCUGAGACCAUCAAUGAGGUGGCUGUUUUAUUUUGCUUUAUUCUCUGUGAUGCUGGACAUGGAACCCAGGGCCUUGAGCAUGCUGGCAAGGCUCUGCCAUGGAGUUGCAGCCCAGCCUGGGAUGGUUUACGUCCUGGGUCCUUGUGGCUGUACCCAGCUGUCUGGUCAAACACUCAUCUAGAUGGUGAUGUAAAUGUACUCUGUAGACGUGGUUAACAUUCAUAAUCUGACUGAGUAAAGCAGGUAACCCCCGUAGCGUGGGUGGGCCUCAUCAAAUCAGUGGAAGGCCUUAAAAACCACUGUUUCCCCAGAAGAAAUUGUGCCUCCAACUGUAACCUACAAAUCCUGCCCGAGUUCCCUGCCUGCUGGCCUGCUCUGCAGAUUUCGGACUUGCCAGCCCCCACAAUCACAUGAGCCAAUUUCUUAAAAUAAAUCUGCUGUGUACCUCUCUCUCUCUCUCUCUCUCUCUCUCUCCAUGUAUAUCUCCUCUUGGUUCUAUUCUCUGGUGCACUCCGGCUGAUACAGUCAUGUUGAUUCAUAAUUGGAUCUGUUUAUGAGGCCUGUUUCCCUGCCGCAGACAGCGGGCAGUGGGCGCAGAGAUCAGAGGGCCUUGAGAGGGAAUAUGGGAGCAGAGUGGGGAUGAGGAGGAGGGAAGGCAGCUGAUAGUUGUCACCACGGGACCAAGAAUGAAUGAAUGAGACCAAGAGGGAGGCGAUGGUGCUCAGUGUUCUGUCACCUCUGAUCUGAAGUCACAGGUCCCAAGAAGCCAUGGCCCCGAUCCUCCGCCUACUGAGCCCACACCCAGAGUGGAAGUGUCAUGUUCUUUGCUCCCAGAGAGGGACAGUGCUUCCCUGUGGCAGGAUGGUGUCCUUGCUGAAGACCCUUCGGGAGAGGCAUUCACUGUGGCCUCCCAAGGCUAGUCCUGCAAUCUUCACUACAGGGCUUGAAGGAAAUUCGGGGACCCACCUGUCCAAGGCUGUCAUUUUACAGAUGGGGAAACUGAGGCACUGCACCCCCCUCCCCCGGGAGCUCUCAAGUCCUAGUUCGUUUCCUCCACCUGUGCUGAACAUGAGCUUCAUGUGACCUGCAAUGAUGAGCAAACUGAGGCUUGGAGAAGCUGCUCUUUGUCUAAGUGACAAGGCCACUAAGAGAUACAGGCAAGACCUGAGCUGAUGACAUCCAUGCUCUUCCUCAUGGACUGCACCUCUGCCUAUGCCCCAUCCGCCCCUCGCCCAGCCUCCUCCCAGCUUCUCCAUUGCUGUGUUUAAUCUGGAGUGAUCAGAAAUGACAGGAGAAAUAAAGGUCUGGGAAAAGAUUUACCAGAGAAAAUAAAGCCAGCCGAUGAUA